GUGCUUGCUUCACUAGCACAUAUACUAAAAUUGGGAUCAUACAGAGAAUGAGUAUGGUUCCUGGUCAGGGAGGACAUGCAAAUUCGUGAAUCAUCCUACAUUGAA
rnacentral:snRNA from 1 species